UUGAAUGAGUAGGUGUUGUAACUUUUGACUGGUAGUGUAUAUUUGUAAUUAUUUUUUAUAAUUGUUUUAAUGCCACCAGUGGUAGUGGUUUCACGGUUAAGCCUUAUUGUUAAUUCUGUGAAUAGCUUAUAUAUUUUAAAGUGGCAGUAUCCUUUUUUA